rnacentral:rRNA from 1 species
GACGUAGGGCGCGAGCGUUGUCCGGAUUUAUUGGGCGUAAAGGGCUCGUAGGCGGUCUGUCGCGUCGGGAGUGAAAACUCAGGGCUUAACCCUGAGCCUGCUUCCGAUACGGGCAGACUAGAGGUAUGCAGGGGAGAACGGAAUUCCUGGUGUAGCGGUGAAAUGCGCAGAUAUCAGGAGGAACACCGGUGGCGAAGGCGGUUCUCUGGGCAUUACCUGACGCUGAGGAGCGAAAGUGUGGGGAGCGAACAGG